GUACGCAUUUCAGCAGCACAUAUACUCAAUUUGGAACGAUACAGAGAAGAUUAGCCUGGCUCCUGCGCAAGGAUGACAUGCAAAUUCGUGAAGCAUUCUAUAUUUUU